rnacentral:rRNA from 1 species
CCCUUAGAUGUCCGGGGCCGCACGCGCGCUACAAUGGAUGAAUCAACGCGUCAUCCUGGCCCGAAAGGGUUGGGGAACCGCUGAACCUCAUCCGUGGUUGGGAUUGGGGUUUGUAAUUAUUCCCCAUGAACUAGGAAUUCCCAGUAAACGCAAGUCAUCAGCUUGCAUUGAUUACGUCCCUGCCCUUUGUACACACCGCCCGUCGCACCUACCGAUUGAAUGAUUCGGUGAAGCUUUCGGACUACGACUUUGUUGGUUUAUUCUGACGCUGUUGUGGGAAGUUAUCUAAACCUCAUCAUUUAGAGGAAGGUGAAGUCGUAACA